AUUGAACGCUGGCGGCAGGCCUAACACAUGCAAGUCGAGCGGAUGAAGGGAGCUUGCUCCUGGAUUCAGCGGCGGACGGGUGAGUAAUGCCUAGGAAUCUGCCUGGUAGUGGGGGAUAACGUCCGGAAACGGGCGCUAAUACCGCAUACGACCUGAGGGAGAAAGUGGGGGAUCUUCGGACCUCCCGCUAUCAGAUGAGCCUAGGUCGGAUUAGCUAGUUGGUGGGGUAAAGGCCUACCAAGGCGACGAUCCGUAACUGGUCUGAGAGGAUGAUCAGUCACACUGGGACUGAGACACGGUCCAGACUCCUACGGGAGGCAGCAGUGGGGAAUAUUGGACAAUGGGCGAAAGCCUGAUCCAGCCAUGCCGCGUGUGUGAAGAAGGUCUUCGGAUUGUAAAGCACUUUAAGUUGGGAGGAAGGGCAGUAAGUUAAUACCUUGCUGUUUUGACGGUACCAACAGAAUAAGCACCGGCUAACUUCGUG
rnacentral:rRNA from 1 species